UACAGAGGGUGCUAGCGUUGUUCGGAAUCAUUGGGCGUAAAGGGCGUGUAGGCGGUUUGUUAAGUCAUGUGUGAAAUCCCUCGGCUCAACCGGGGAACGACGCAUGAAACUGGCAAGCUAGAGUACCAAAGAGGGGGGUGGAAUUCCCGGUGUAGCGGUGAAAUGCGUAGAUAUCAGGAGGAACACCGGUGGCGAAGGCAAGGUGCUGGACCCUCUCUGACGCUGAGGCGCGAAAGCCAGGGGAGCGAACGGG
rnacentral:rRNA from 1 species